rnacentral:rRNA from 1 species
AGCCUUUAGCCCAACCAGUAUUAAAGGUCCCGCCUGCCCAGUGAAAAUUUUAACGGCCGCGGUAUUCUAACCGUGCAAAGGUAGCGUAAUCACUUGUCUUCUAAAUAAAGACCAGUAUGAACGGCUAAAUGAGGACAGACCUGUCUCCUAUGACUAAUCAGUGAAACUGAUCUUCCAGUACAAAAGCUGGAAUACAGACAUAAGACGAGAAGACCCUGUGGAGCUUCAAACAUCCACUAACAAGCAAAUAAUCUGCCCUAGUGUGUAGUUUUGAGUUGGGGCGACUUCGGAGUAAAAUAAAACCUCCGAGCACAGAGCCACACACUCUCACCAAGACCAACAAGCCAAAGUUAAAACAGCCGACCCAGUAACACUGAUCAACGAACCAAGUUACCCCAGGGAUAACAGCGCUAUCUUCUUCAAGAGUCCCUAUCGACAAGAAGGUUUACGACCUCGAUGUUGGAUCAGGACACCCAAAUGGUGCAGCCGCUAUUAAUGGUUCGUUUGUUCAACGAUUAACAG